rnacentral:lncRNA from 1 species
UCAUAACAGCUAUUACUAAGGUUCAUAGGCAAAUAAUGAACUAUGUAUGUUGGUUUCUUGAAUUUUUGCUGCUUAGUUCAUGUGUGUAUAAUCUAAAAUUUCAAAGACACUUGAAGUUUGUGUGAUGGUUUUGCCAUAUAUGAUGUGUGUAUUUAUAAUCUAUAUUUAAGUAUUACUUACCCUAUAUUUAAGUAUUACUUACUUUUGAGUAUUUUUUUGAAAUUCUAAAAUGGACAAAUAGAAAAUUGAGAUGAUCAAAAUAAUCCGUUGUUAAUCGAUAAGUAUUUGACUGUUGGUCUUGAGGAUGAUAUGGGAUACAUUGAGGAUUUUGAGUUCUAUGUGGAAUUUGAUUGUUAUAUGAGUUAGAGGACAGUGAAGUUCAAAGUUUUUAGGUCAACAGAAAAUAUAAAAAAUGGGUCGAAGUGACUAAUUUGGGUGAUAUGUACUUGUUCCUAGGUGAUAAUUGUACAUUUUCAGUUUCUACUUCGGAUAUGUUUGGGGAUAAUGGGUAUAAAGGUAAUUAUAUAUUCUUUACAGGUCAGUUCUUUUGGGGAAGAUGAUUAGGUGUGGAACAAUUGCGGUAUCAUAGUGUUUGAUUUGGAGAGUGGGAGUAUUGAGCCAAUAGAUAGUCAAUAUGGUUAUUCCCACAUGUUUUUGAUACCACCUACUUGGGUUUGUUCUAAUGUGUCUAUAGAAGUAAGUGGUGGUUUUAGUUUUCCAAUUUACAGCUAAUUUUUUGAAAUUUAUAUUUUUCCGCGGAACUUUGUUUGCCAUGUGAGAUUUAUUUGUUGAGCAGCAUCAUGUAUUCAAGACAUUGUGUGUGUUUCUUGAUAGCAUUGGCUGCACUUUUAAUGUAGCAUUAGUUAAGUGGCAGUUUUAAUUUUUGUGUUACAUGCUCAUUUCUUUGAAUUUAUAACUUUUAGUCCAACUUUUUUCAUUAUCAUACAUUUGUUGGAGAAUUGUAUAUUCAAGAUAUUAUUUAUGUUGGAUAGUAUUUGCUGCAUUUUUAGUUUAGUGUUUGAAACAAUUGUCCUAAGAAAAAUGAUUGAGAAAAAAAUUGACCUUCUUCAGCCUAAUUUUAUGUAAUAGAGAUUG